GACGUGCAACGGUUAGAAUCUGCCCUCUCUUUCGAAGCGGUUGACCAAAUCUGUAGUGUUAGUUGGGAUGCCGCUCGUUUUAUCGAACGGUUUGUCCUUUUGGUUUGCAGAGGAGGCAUCGGCUGGCUACCAGAGAGAGAGAGUCCAUCCGCACCCUUCAUACUCGUUUCGGAGAGAUGGGGCUGGUCAGGUAAUGUGACG
rnacentral:lncRNA from 1 species